rnacentral:tRNA from 1 species
GGGCCUGUGGUCUAUUGGUGUGAUGUCGCUUUCACAGAGCGAAGAUAAGCGGUUCGAUUCCGCUCAGGCCCA